CAAUAGCGUAUAUUAAAGUUGUUGCAGUUAGAACGCUCGUAGUCGGAUUUCGGGGCGGGGCGACCGGUCUGCCGAUGGGUACGCACUGGUCGGCGCGUCCUUCCUUCCGGAGACCGUGCCUACUCUUAACUGAGCGGGGGCGGGAGACGGAUCGUUUACUUUGAAAAAAUCAGAGUGUUUCAAGCAGGCAGCUCGCUCUUGCAUGGAUUAGCAUGGGAUAAUGAAAUAGGACUUUGGUGCUAUUUUGUUGGUUUCGAACACCGAAGUAAUGAUUAACAGGGACAGUCAGGGGCACUCGUAUUCCGCCGAGAGAGGUGAAAUUCUCAGACCAGCGGAAGACGAACUACUGCGAAAGCAUUUGCCAGGGAUGUUUNCACUG
rnacentral:rRNA from 1 species